UACGGGGGGGCAAGCGUUGUUCGGAAUUACUGGGCGUAAAGGGCUCGUCGGUGGCCAACUAAGUCAGACGUGAAAUCCCUCGGCUUAACCGAGGAACUGCCCUCCAAACUGCUUGGCUUGAGUCCGGGAGAGGUGAGUGGAAUUCCAAGUGUAGCGGUGAAAUGCGUAGAUAUUGGGAGGAACACCAGUGGCGAAGGCGGCUCACUGGACCGGAACUGACGCUGAGGCGCGAAAGCGUGGGGAGCAAACGGG
rnacentral:rRNA from 1 species